UCAAUUAAGCAAAUUAUAACAAGAUAGGAAUACAGACUCCAACAUAAGAUCAACUAUAUAUUUGAUUUAUCUAAAAUUCUAUUAUAAUUCUAUCGAGACUUCUAAUUCUUGUCAUGUUUGAAAAACGAUGAAAUAAAAUUCGGUCAAGUCCAUUUAGGCUACAAUAGAUAUCUGACAGAUCAUAUUUCUGAUUAUGUGAAAAGCCAAUAGCAUUUGGUGGAUUUAUCUAGACUAGUAUGAACCGAGUUAGAGAGGACUGGAUAUGACAGAAACCAUUGAAGUAUCAACAUGAUUCAGUAGGGAUAUAAUAUAUCGUGGUACAAUAUGAUUCGAAUGGUCCAAAGUUCGGUAGGAUUCAGCCAAAGUCGGAUAAGAAAAAUUAGUAAUCGUUAAAUUCAAAGAAAUUUACAUGUGUUAUGUGGGAACAUUUAAGAUUUAGAUGGAUCGUAGUAUAUAAACUUUUAGUUAUUAAUGUUUGAAUAGGAUUCAUGAAUUAUCGAUAUUAUAAGUCAAACUGUCAAUGAUACAUACCUUUGUAGAAUGGAAAUGAAGCAUAAAUUAUAUAUAUAUUUAAAUUAUA